rnacentral:lncRNA from 1 species
CCCAGCUAAUUUAUCUAGAAUAUUAGCCAAGACAUAAAUAAAAGGAUCGAGAUACAUUAAAAUUUCUGAAUUAAACUCGUUGUAUAUACCCAUAAAACAUAAAAGCCUUGUCAUUAUACAAGUAUUGACUAAACUGAAUGAUAACAUUCCUGUCAUAAUGUAACUUAAAACAUACAUCAGAGCCAUAAAUAACCAGUCAAUACAUAUAUACUAUGACACUAACUUAUACAACAGCUUAAUAGAAUAUCCAGAUAAACAAUGACAAUAACAUCCAACGCCACUUCACUUCUUCCAGUCCGUAGCUCUCUACACCGCAACCUGUUUAUCUGUAUCAAAAGGGAGUGGGGUGAGACAGUCACUUCGUCUCAAUGGAUUCCUCGCUACCCAUCUAGGUGCAACUAUCUCUUACGAACCAUUUUGGAAUCGAUCGUUAAUUCAUUACAUUCAUAAGAACAGCUUAAACAUAAUAAUAAUUCUCUUAAUAGAAACUAAAUAUGUAUCACACAAUAGUUAUCUUGAUUCAUUUUACAGGAAGCUUCCGAGGUGAGUAUAUCUCGAAAGAUCCACUAAGGAUGUACUCCUCUUAGGAUGUUCUCCACUUAGGAUGUUCUCCACUACCCUUUGUGACAUAGCUAUGUCACGUUGGUCUUACUCACAUUUCUUAACUUAUUGAAUUCCUAAACAACAAAAUCCUCCACUAGCUUAUGCUAACGGUCAUAAUCUUAGAUUGUUUACCGUGGCAAUUCGGGAUCAAUUACCACACAAUCACUUAACCAAUUAUUAACCGGUUACUUUUAAUUAACUUAACCCACAACCCGGGGGAACCUACGCAUCUCUAUGUUCUCAAGAGUAACGUUCACUUAUAACGCUACCAAGUUCUAAUUAUGCGACUUACUAAUUACACUUAAUCUAUUGGCGACAUUACCUACAUUAUAGCAACUCUUGGAUACGAAAUGUUCUUGGGUAAAAAUAUAUGUAUCAGCUCCAAGUCGCUGCUACAAUAUAGAACAAUGAUUAAACAUAAUAAUAGGAAGUAUAACAUGUUAACUUCUUCGCUACACCAAGCCUAUAUCCAGUCAUCGAUAUUUUACCUACAUUAUGAUAUUGUGCUAAGAUUUAGGAAUUUAGUUACAAAUGUUUGUCAUCCUUAACACGUUAUCUCAAUGUAAAACGAUAAUCAAACAUGAUCUCAGUGUAUCAAAGUAUAGGGGAAAAUAGGUUAUUCCUAGUCCAAUUCCAGCCUAGUUUUGUCCCAAUUUCUCAAGACCCAUAAUUAUACUUACAAGGUACUUAUCACAUUUUAAUUGGAAAUAAAUCAUACUCUUUUGAUUAAGGAAAUUACUUAUGUGAAGAACCCACCCGGAGUUGAGUUAAACUCAGAAGCUCUAAACACAGUGCUCACGACAUCUUUGGAGCUAGCCGAAAAAUCGAAUUUGCAGCAAAGUACUUUAAAUACAUAACAUAAUUUCUGCAUAAUUUCCAUAUCAGAUCCUCAACUUCAAACUGGUCUCCCGAAUUCAUUACUGCUCUACAAUUCAUGAAACUGGCGUCAAAUCGACGGAAAUUUCGUUAGCUAACCACAGAAUCAAUCGGCAUCUCAAUUGGAGUUACGAGGAGUGAAAAAUUACCUUUUUAGUGAGGGUAUAUCCAGGAAUACGAGUUUCAGUAGAUUAAUCCAAUUUCUCUUGUUUUCUUCAACAACUACCAUGGUGAAAUUGUUCAAUGCUUUACAUGCAGUCCAAAAUACAUAACACAAGAGAAGUGAGUUCCAUGAUUAAGAUAAUGAUGACACGAUUCAGAUUGGAAUGAGAGACAAGGGGAGAUUUCUUACCUUGCUACCUAUGUUCCUUUCUUCACAACCCCAUUCAACAUGAUCACUUAACAACUCAAUUCCAACUAGAACUUCAACUUGCAAGGUCUGAAUUUUGAGGGAUUUGAGAAGGAAGACUUCAAGGGCUGAGUACUCACACAAAGGGAAAGAGGAAGAAUUGAAAUUGGAGGUUGCUACUUAAGUGCUUAAUGGUCAUGGAGUGGGUAGAACUUAUGCAUGCAUCCUAAAUAGAGAUUUUACCCACAUGCAUGUGUGGAUGAAGAACUUGAAGAAUGGAGAGUGGACUGAUGUUGUUCUGCGCAGAGAACAGAGAAAAUGAAAGGACUAAAAUCGGAUUUCUC